CCUACGGGCGGCACCAGUGGGAAUAUUGCACAAUGGGCGCAAGCCUGAUGCAGCCAUGCCGCGUGUAUGAAGAAGGCCUUCGGGUUGUAAAGUACUUUCAGCGGGGAGGAAGGUGUUGUGGUUAAUAACCACAGCAAUUGACGUUACCCGCAGAAGAAGCACCGGCUAACUCCGUGCCAGCAGCCGCGGUAAUACGGAGGGUGCAAGCGUUAAUCGGAAUUACUGGGCGUAAAGCGCACGCAGGCGGUCUGUCAAGUCGGAUGUGAAAUCCCCGGGCUCAACCUGGGAACUGCAUUCGAAACUGGCAGGCUAGAGUCUUGUAGAGGGGGGUAGAAUUCCAGGUGCAGCGGUGAAAUGCGUAGAGAUCUGGAGGAAUACCGGUGGCGAAGGCGGCCCCCUGGACAAAGACUGACGCUCAGGUGCGAAGGCGUGGGGAGCAAACAGGAUUAGAUACCCCGGUAGUC
rnacentral:rRNA from 1 species